CUCAGGAAAUGUCAGGCAGCUGCUAUUUUUAUUUUCUAGGCUCGCGAGUCUUCUGUGGAGGGCAGUGCGAUCCAUGCUCUUCAGCACACCCACCACACUGGGCACCAGAGUGGCAGCCCCAGACUUUGUGUUUAGGAUAAAGUAAGGGGCUUCUGCUUAGCUUGUGUGUUUGUUUGGUACCUCGGAGUAAGGUGGUGGUUCUGCUAAGAUACAUUCUUUCCAAGAAGAUAAGCCGUCUUAUCACCAUGAAAGCAUGAAACUUCAGUCACUCCCCAAGGAGAUUCAAGGACAUAUUUCUACAAUUUUCUCAAAUUCACUGUGGUUCUAGACCACCUUGUCAGGCCAGGGAACUGAAGAAAGACUUCCAGCCAGGGAGAGCAGGCUGAGGGUGAGAGGAAUAAAGGGAAGGAGAAGUUGAAAUCUGAAAAUGAACGCUACACAUUCAUGAGGAUGGAUGUGCCAGGUCUAAAACGGUGCUGGUGACUCUUUGUACUCAACUACUUUGCCCUGCCUUUAUAGCUCUUCUUUGUGACAACUGGGGGUCAAAUACUCCCUUUCUGCUUUCCCUGGCUUUGGCCCCUCAUGGGUCGAAUUAGAUGUCCCACCUGGCAGACUCUGCAAAGAAAGAUCUCUUGUUUUUAGCAUGAUAGAGCUUAUUAUAAUAUGUGCCACUCCAGCAUGACAAAAGUAUUCAGACAAUGGCCUAUCUCUAGGCUGAUUUCUAGGUGACUUUGACACCCAUCAUCGAAGCUAGAGAUCUAGGAUGUCCAUCAUACCAUGACCUUCAGGCAUAAAGGAUGGAGAAAAAGAACUGGAGGAUCCAUAUUAUUCAACCAAGUUCCAUCCUGACCCCACAGGAUGAGAUGUGACAAGUUAUACCAGCUUUCCUAGCCUCCUGUCCAACUUCUCUGAUCAGAGAAAUCCUGUUGUCUCUGGACUCAAGACCUGCACCUGUUUCCUUUCGUAGGGUGAGGAGCAGCUAUAAAUACCUUCUGUCUUGGCCCUGCAGCUCCCAACACACUGUCAUGAAAAUAAAGAAGUACAACAUUGACCUUUGCUGUGUCCUCUUCCUAAGGUGUCUACUGAGUUCUUCAUUCAUAGGAACCUCCUCCCCAUGUUCUCCAAGGGGUGGGGGUGGGGGGCCCUCAGGAUCUCAGAGAGAGGAGUCUGCAUGCUGAAUACAGCCCUCACUUGGGACAGUUAUUUCUGUUUCUAAGGAUAAGGAUAAUUUGUGGAAAAGUACUGCUUUUCAUCUUUAUAUUUUAAAAAGUAAUAUGUGUGUCAUAAAACUAAGAAUUUGAAGAAAAUGUAAUCGUGUAAAGUAAAAUAUAAAAUUGUUCCUUUUUAUUCCCUAACUUUCACUUCCUGCGGGCACUCUUGAGAGUUUACACAGUAUCAUUACCGACCUUUUCCUACAUACUUAAAACAGUAUAGGGGAAUAUAUAGAGAGAUACAUAGAGAUUGAAGAAAAUAGAAUUAUAGAUGGAGACAAGGACAUAUAGAAAAAGAAACAAAGAUAUAGACAUAGGAAAAAUGUGCUUUUUUUACAUAAAAAAUAGUCUACAAAUUUCCUUUUUCACUCAAUAAUAUUUUAGGGAGAGCAAUCCAUAAAGUAUUCAUGCAUAGUGCUAUCUCAUUUAAAUAGAUGGCGUGAUAUUCCAUUGUAUGGCUGUACCAUAAUUUAUCCAUUCAUAACCCUGCUGAGAGACAUUUAGAUUGUUUCCAAUUUUUAUCUCUUACAAACAGUGCUGUAAUGAAUAUCCUUAAACAUCUAUGUUUUUAAGCAUAUGUGAACUAUAUUUAUUUUAAAUACAUGUCCCACGUUUCAUUUCCUGAGUGGAAAGAGUAUAUCCUUUUAAAAAUUUGAUAGAAACUGCCAAGUUGCCCUUCAGCAUGUCACACCAGUUUAUACUCCCGCCAACAUUAGUUUCCUUUCCUCCUCAAUUCUCAUAAACACUUUAUAUUGUGAAUAUUUUAAGUGUAUGCCAUUUUGCUAAGGCAAAAAAAUUAGUAUCCUAUCAUUGGUUUGUCUUUUUUGAUCAAUAAUUAAGUGUGGAAUAUUUUCAUAUUUUUAUAUCAGUGGGUUUUUUUCUUCUAUGAACAGCCUUGCUCAUAUUCUUUUCCCAUCUGUUGGGUUAUUUCGUACCUAUAAGGGCUCUUUUUCUAUUAAAUAUAUGUUAAACAUGUUUAAAUUGUUUUCUCUAUGAUGUCUUUUGCCAUGCAGAGAUUUUACUGAUCUGAAAAUCUUGUGUUUUAUGACAUGAGCUCCUACUGAAUCUCAAAACUGUCUUACCUUCCCUAACAGUAAAUGGUAAAAAGUGUUUUAGUCUUCCUCUUGCUUAAGGAAUUGUAAUGCCAGGGAUUCACUCUGAAUUCAAGGAUGCUUUUAAAUGAAUUUGUAUGUAAUUCAUCUCAAGACCAGCUACAUACUUUUUUGAAAGUAUGAAUAAUACAUAUAUGGUUGAAAAUGAUUUAGUCAGUUUAUAAACAGUGGCUCACACAUCGAUGGAUUCAUGGGUCCCCUGAAAACCAUUGUUUUAGAACAAAGUUGUAUAUGAUAUAAAAUUAUUAUAUACAUAUAAAUCCAAUCUUAUACUACAGUCAGAGGGACAAGGCACUGCAGAAUCCUAAAAUGGCAUCCAAGCCAUCAGUUGUCAAUUGCUACGGUUUUAGUGCUGAAUGUUUUAUUUUACUUGCACUCUGAAUAUGAAUUCUCGGCAUACAGUGUGUAUGAUAACUCCAUGAACAAAACUGACUGAUUAACAAAGUGGAGAAUAGCAAAGUACAGACUCUGGGAGCUUGGCCCAGGGGGCUCAAAGGGUGCCCUGAAAUCAGCCUUUAAACUGAAAAAGUUAUACCUGAGAGCCGCUUCUGUCAUUAACGAAGGGGGUGGGGUGUCACUUUCUGGAACAAAACUUUGGACCAGUCAAAAAGAUAAUAAUAUUGAUACUUAUUACAGCAAACACUUAUAUAGUUAAGUGCUUUACAAACUUUAUUUAAAGCAACAGUGUGAGAUAUAGGUACUAUGAUUAUGCCUCCUUACAGGUGAGGAAACCAAGGCAGAAAAAAGCUGAGUAGCACACUGAAGGGAUUGGAGGAUAAUGACUGCAGAGCUUGACCACUUCUCUCCAUAGAAGGAAACUGCCUCUGGUGCCGGUGCCAUUGGGCUAUAACAGAAUAGCUUCUGCCAUUCUCAAGGCCCCAUAAUGGAAUUAAACCACAGUGGUGAUGCUUCUAACAUGUGGAUUUGGAGUGAGGUGAGGAAUCCUUUUGCAAAAUUAUUCUUGGUGGUAUCCAGAAUAUAAAUGUUUAUCUUGUUGGAAUUAAUUAAAUAAUCACCUUCCAGUCUGGGUUGGAAUAUGCAGUUAUCUGUCUUUCGUUUAUUUUACUCAGUGACAACCUGGUCCAGUGUAAGAUUCAAUAUUCUUCUGGCAUUUUACAUCCAUACAAGGAGAGAAAAUUAAAUCUAUUAACCCUUCCAAUCAUUUGGAUCAUGAAUAGCAUAGACAACAUCAAUCAGGAAAUCAGGUACCUUGACAAUUUAAUGACCUAAAAAUAUGUGAUUAACUUAUUUACAUUUAAUCAGUUAUUAUUCAUUUGCCAUGUUUUUUAAGCCUUCUCAUCCUAAAUGAGACGGCCAGAACACUUAUCUCCUGCUGCAUUUAGCUCCCAGAACUUUCAAAUAGACACUGGGGGAACUCAGUACAGAAAGACAAAAGAAAUAUGCUUAGAAAGAGAUCCAACAAAAAUGAGAUCGUCAUGACAUUAAGGGGUGGAUGGCUCAGUGUUUUGGGAUGUCCACAGUUAAGUCAUCACAUGUCACAUCAGUGUAUCUAGCAAAAGUUGUCUUGUAACUUCUGCCAUCUGAGUAUGUAUCAACUGGAAGCUUUAAUGACAUUACCAGGAUGAGGGACUCCAGCCCUUGACCUAAUUUUCACCGAGCUCUCAGAACCACUGCUCUGAUCUUUGCUAAUUUAUUCAGAGAAUAUCUCUUAAUGGAGUUAGUGAUUCCGUCAGCCUUUGGGAUGGAGACCUUAGAAAUGUAGGAUUAAGGUGCCUGGAGGAGGUCGACUGUAGUCAUGGAGAACAAGGAGCCCAGCACUAUAGUCAUGGAGAACAAGGAGCCCAGCAGCCCACAAUCCAAAUGAACCACAGAAGCUGUGAAAGCUGGGUACCCACCUCUUGCUCUUUGGUCUCCUCCUGGCUUUCUGGAUCUCCCUGUUCCCCCUUGCUCUUUUGUUGCUCAUUAACUCCAGAUUAUAUCUCCUUCUUUUCUCUCCCUAGCUUUUCUUUCUUUCACCCCAGUUUGUUUCUUGUUCAAAUCCUCACAUCAUGAAAUCAAAAUAUUUUUAAUUCUGUUUUAUUAUAAUAAGAAUUUCUAGUCUCUACUUCAAAUACCAUUGGCCCUCUGUGUCCAAGAGUUUCCAAUCCAAAGAU
rnacentral:lncRNA from 1 species